CAGGCCCAGAAUUUUCUAUUGUGUCUGCCUGUGUAUGUUGUGUUUGUUUGUCUGGGCAGCAGGCUGAAAUUGACACAAAGCACACAGAUGAUGGAUAGUGAGUGGAUGAGUUUUUCUUUUUGCUUUCUGUAAGUCACUAGGAAUUCACUGCUUUGGAAUUGCACUUCUACCAUAACAGCUCUUCAGCUUCUGUAGCUUCGGACCUGACACCCUGAAAUAACCCAAGCAGAGAAAAAGACCAAGUGCAAAGGUCGAAAGGACCAUUCACAGCAGUUCUCAAGUCUGCAUCAGUUCAUUCAUCUCUCCGUUUCAACACACAGGCUUCUGGAAACUACCUUAUAACAUGAUGAAAACCACCAGAACUCUGUGCCUGUUUCUCCUGUUCCUGCUCCACCCUGCUGAAGCAGACCAAGCUCUUUCUACUACCACCAUAGAUUUACCCACAUCCCAAGACCAAAGAGGCAGCCCAACAUUUACAGCGGAGUCCCACCUCUCAGCAACUUACCAUGAAAACCCAGCUGUUGUAAUCAAUGCCACUGGUGGCGACUGCUUAAUUGACACUGAGAUGGGUCUCAUUGCUAUUGGUUCAGCAGGAGGGUUAAUCCUCUGCUUACUGGUUACAACAUCUGUGCUUGCAUGUCAGAUCUGUGUCCUUCAGCACCGGGUCUACAUCCCCCGAAGUCGCCGAUCUAACACGGACAUAAGUGGUACUCACUACUGGGAAGCAGAUCAAACGGAGAUAGAAGGGCUGGUUGGCCCGUGUGAUACCACUGUUAUGCUAGAGGAGGUGAGAACAGACGGUAUGACUGACAUACAGGAGGCUAAGGAGGAAGCUUGGGCAGGACUUGAUGAAGGGAAAGCAACUUCUACUGAACCUGAAGAAAAAGUCUUUCAGAUCCAGAGCUCCAGUUCUAAGGAUUCCUGUUUGGAGGUCCCCAAGGAUUUGGAAGACAUGCCUCUUGUUGUAUGAAAUGGUAACCAACCCCUGUCUAAACAGACCAAAUUUUUUAUGUUGUCUUUAUUCUCAUUUUUUAGAAACUAAAGUUAUUGUAAAACAUAAAGCUACUUAGAUAUUAAAAAAUUGGGAUUAUCUCUAGAAUUUAAGAUUCAUUUAAACUUAAAAAGAAACCAAUAAAUUAAUACUGAUGGAAGAUUACAAAUUGUACAGUUUUUGAAAAAGUUGAGCUGUCAAAAUUGUUUCUUCACCAACAGAUUCAAGUUCAAAUAUGAAAACAGUGUUUAUACAAAAAGCAAAGUUUGAUGUUUGAGUUGUAUGAUGCUACAGAGCUACUUAGACAAAUAAAGGAAAAAGAAAACACUGAAAUAAGUAUGUGAGAUACUUCCUCAUAUUGAUAGAAUAUGAGAAAUCUGAAAGAAUAGUUUAAGCUUUCAGUUAGAACUGAGUUCAUCCUGGCCAAAUUAGGAAGAAUUAUUUUGACAUCCCAAUGUGUCCAAUUUCAAUCAAAAACUUCAUGAGAGAUUGUGGAGAAAAAACACAUUUUUGUUGUGUUCAUAACAGAACAGUCUGUUUAUAAAGUGGCCUUUAACCUCAUCUGACAGUCAAUAAGUGCUUUAGAGUGUUGCUCUUAUUCAUACUUUUUCAAACAAACUUAUGCAGCUCCUUGUGCAAGCAUUUAUGCCACUUCACAAUUAUGCAGUACUUUGUGUCUGGUUAUCAAGUAAAUCCUAAUAAAAUAAGGUUUGUGACUAAAACAUGACAAAAUAUCAAGAGUUCAGGAGACAAUAACACAACAUGCAUUCUCUUCAGACAGCGUUUUUUUUUUUUUUUUUUUUUAAGUCUCCAGGGUAAAAGGGUAACGGUAUGGAUCAAUGGAAAGGUUGGGGAUCAGUACCAAAUGAGAAAAACCUGAAAUAUGAAAUAAUAUUGGUGAAUGUCUCAAUAAUGAUAUGAUUUGUGAUAAAUAAAUUUUUUUAAAAAAGCUUUG